AGAGUUUGAUCCUGGCUCAGGAUGAACGCUGGCGGCGUGCUUAACACAUGCAAGUCGAACGAAGCGAUUUGGCGGAAGUUUUCGGAUGGAAGCUAGAUUGACUGAGUGGCGGACGGGUGAGUAACGCGUGGGUAACCUGCCUCACACUGGGGGACAACAGUUAGAAAUGACUGCUAAUACCGCAUAAGCGCACAGGACCGCAUGGUCCGGUGUGAAAAACUCCGGUGGUGUGAGAUGGACCCGCGUUUGGUUAGCUAGUUGGUGGGGUAACGGCCUACCAAGGCGACGAUCAAUAGCCGACCUGAGAGGGUGACCGGCCACAUUGGGACUGAGACACGGCCCAAACUCCUACGGGAGGCAGCAGUGGGGAAUAUUGCACAAUGGGGGAAACCCUGAUGCAGCGACGCCGCGUGAGUGAAGAAGUAUUUCGGUAUGUAAAGCUCUAUCAGCAGGGAAGAAAAUGACGGUACCUGACUAAGAAGCCCCGGCUAACUACGUGCCAGCAGCCGCGGUAAUACGUAGGGGGCAAGCGUUAUCCGGAUUUACUGGGUGUAAAGGGAGCGUAGACGGUAAAGCAAGUCUGAAGUGAAAGCCCGGGGCUCAACCCCGGGACUGCUUUGGAAACUGUUUAACUAGAGUGCUGGAGAGGUAAGCGGAAUUCCUAGUGUAGCGGUGAAAUGCGUAGAUAUUAGGAGGAACACCAGUGGCGAAGGCGGCCUACUGGGCUUUAACUGACGCUGAGGCACGAAAGUGUGGGUAGCAAACAGGAUUAGAUACCCUGGUAGUCCACACUGUAAACGAUGAUUACUAGGUGUGGGGGGUCUAACCCCCUCCGUGCCGGAGUUAACACAAUAAGUAAUCCACCUGGGGAGUACGACCGCAAGGUUGAAACUCAAAGGAAUUGACGGGGGCCCGCACAAGCAGUGGAGUAUGUGGUUUAAUUCGACGCAACGCGAAGAACCUUACUAGGUCUUGACAUCCAACUAACGAAGCAGAGAUGCAUUAGGUGCCCUUCGGGGAAAGUUGAGACAGGUGGUGCAUGGUUGUCGUCAGCUCGUGUCGUGAGAUGUUGGGUUAAGUCCCGCAACGAGCGCAACCCUUAUCCUAAGUAGCCAGCGGUUUGGCCGGGCACUCUUGGGAGACUGCCAGGGAUAACCUGGAGGAAGGUGGGGAUGACGUCAAAUCAUCAUGCCCCUUAUGAUUUGGGCUACACACGUGCUACAAUGGCGUAAACAAAGAGAAGCGAGACCGCGAGGUGGAGCAAAUCUCAAAAAUAACGUCUCAGUUCGGACUGCAGGCUGCAACUCGCCUGCACGAAGCUGGAAUCGCUAGUAAUCGCGAAUCAGAAUGUCGCGGUGAAUACGUUCCCGGGUCUUGCACACACCGCCCGUCA
rnacentral:rRNA from 1 species